rnacentral:rRNA from 1 species
UAAUACGGAGGGGGCGAGCGUUGUCCGAAGUUACUGGGCGUAAAGGGCGCGUAGGCGGGGUGUCACGUCCGCUGUGAAAGCCUGGAGCUUAACUCCAGCGGGUCGGUGGAUACGGGCACUCUUGAAGGCGUUAGGGGAAGAUGGAAUUACCCGUGGAGCGGUGAAAUGCGUAGAGAUGGGUAGGAACACCGGUGGCGAAGGCGGUCUUCUGGGACGUCCUUGACGCUGAGGCGCGAAAGCUGGGGGAGCGAACGGGAUUAGAUACCCCGGUAGUCCCAGCCGUAAACGAUGGAUACUAGAUGUCGCGGGUAUCGACCCCUGCGGUGUCGUCGCAAACGCAGUAAGUAUCCCGCCUGGGGAGUACGGCCGCAAGGUUG